AGAGUUUGAUCCUGGCUCAGGAUGAACGCUGGCGGCGUGCCUAACACAUGCAAGUCGAACGAACCUUGGGGAACAGAUUACUUCGGUUUGAAGUUCCCCGCUGGUUAGUGGCGGACGGGUGAGUAACGCGUGGGUAACCUGCCGUAUGCAGGGGGAUAACAGUUAGAAAUGACUGCUAAUACCGCAUAAGCGCACAGUAUCGCAUGAUACAGUGUGAAAAACGAUAGUGGCAUACGAUGGACCCGCGUCUGAUUAGCUAGUUGGCGGAGUAACGGCCCACCAAGGCGACGAUCAGUAGCCGGUCUGAGAGGAUGAACGGCUACAUUGGGACUGAGACACGGCCCAGACUCCUACGGGAGGCAGCAGUGGGGAAUCUUCCGCAAUGGACGAAAGUCUGACGGAGCAACGCCGCGUGAACGAUGACGGCCUUCGGGUUGUAAAGUUCUGUUAUACGGGACGAGUGGCGUAGCGGUCAAUACCCGUUACGAGUGACGGUACCGUAAGAGAAAGCCACGGCUAACUACGUGCCAGCAGCCGCGGUAAUACGUAGGUGGCAAGCGUUGUCCGGAAUUAUUGGGCGUAAAGGGCGCGCAGGCGGCGUCGUAAGUCGGUCUUAAAAGUGCGGGGCUUAACCCCGUGAGGGGGACGAAACUGCGAUGCUAGAGUAUCGGAGAAGGAAAGCGGAAUUCCUAGUGUAGCGGUGAAAUGCGUAGAUAUUAGGAAGAACACCAGUGGCGAAAGGCGCUUUCUUGGACGACAACUGACGCUGAGGCGCGAAAGCCCGGGGGAACAAACGGGGAAUAAAUACCCCCGGUAAUCCCCACUUGAAAAACGAUGAAUGCUAGGGGGGAGGGGG
rnacentral:rRNA from 1 species